rnacentral:rRNA from 1 species
CCUGACUGCUAUUUGGGUGAGGAUAAGCCAUGCGAGUUGAAUGGGAUACCUAAAGUUCCCAUAGCAAACUGCUCAGUAACACAUGAUCAACUUACCCUAUAGAGAAAAAUAACCUCGGGAAACUGAGGAUAAUGUUUCAUAACUGAAUCGGCUUGGAAAAGUUUUUCAGUGAAAGGGAUAAAAUAAAUGGUUUUUAUCUGCUAUAGGAUAGGAUCGUGGUCGAUUAUGGUUGUUGGUGAGGUAACGGCUCACCAAGCCGAUAAUCGAUAGGGGCCGUGAGAGCGGGAGCCCCGAGAUGGGUACUGAGACAACGACCCAGGCCUUACGAGGCGCAGCAGGCGCGAGACCUCCGCAAUACACGAAAGUGUGACGGGGUUACCCAAAGUGUUCAUUUAUGAACUGUGGUAGGUGAGUAAUAUCCCCUACUAGAAAGGAGAGGGCAAGGCUGGUGCCAGCCGCCGCGGUAAAACCAGCUCUUCAAGUGGUCGGGAUAAUAUUGGGCUUAAGUGUCCGUAGCCGGUUUAGUAAGUUCCUGGUAAAAUCGGGUAGCUUAACUGUCCGCAUGCUAGGAAUACUGCUAUACUAGAGGGCGGGAGAGGUCUGAGGUACUACAGGGGUAGGGGUGAAAUCUUAUAAUCCUUGUAGGACCACCAGUGGCGAAGGCGUCAGACUGGAACGCGCCUGACGGUGAGGGACGAAAGCCAGGGGAGCGAACCGGAUUAGAUACCCGGGUAGUCCUGGCCGUAAACGAUGCAUACUAGGUGAUGGCACGGCCAUGAGCCGUGUCAGUGCCGUAGGGAAACCGUUAAGUGUGCCGCCUGGGAAGUACGGUCGCAAGGCUAAAACUUAAAGGAAUUGGCGGGGAAGCACCACAAGGGGUGAAGCCUGCGGUUCA